rnacentral:rRNA from 1 species
AUGCCGCGCAAGGCCUCCUGCACGCCAGAUUCGCGCACCAAAUGGCGGAAACGGAAGCGAAACUCCGACGCCCUUCCCUUGCCAUCGGCCGCGGCCGACCACUCGGACAACCCAGACUCCGCCGCCGACAAUGAUGACGACGACACGGCCGUUCCAUCGCCUGCGGUCGACAAUGCCGACGACGAAAUACUGGCCGGUGCCGCGGCCAGGGACCCGGUGCCCGACCUCCGUGAGGCAGAGCUGCUCUCCUCGGCCGAGGUCAUCUCCGCCUUCCCUGCCGCCACCCGCCGCACAGUCAACCGGCCGCAUCCGUCGGUCAUGGCCGUCGUUGCAGCUGAGCGAGCUGCGUAUGUGGGUGAUGUCUCCGCCGCCGUGCCACCGGCACUGGAGAACAUCUCGCAUGGGCAGCUCCAGGUGCUCUCUGUGGCGCUCCCCGACCACCAGUCCCUUUUGACGGAUCCUGACAGGCCGUCUUCUUACGUCUGCACGCCACCACCCCUCAUGGAGGGGCAUGGCGUGCACAAGCAGUUCCAGGGCCGCCUCCAUGUCGUGCCCAAGCACUCAGAUUGGUUCUCUCCUGGGGCGGUGCACAGGCUGGAAAGGCAGGUUGUUCCACACUUCUUCACAGGGAAAUCUCCGGUGCACACUCCGGAGAAGUUCAUAAUGUUAAGGAAUAAAAUUAUUGCCAAAUAUUUGGAGAACCCAGGCAAGAGGCUUGCGUUUGCCGAGUGCCAGGGGUUUGUUAACACAGGUGAACUAUAUGAUUUGAGUAGGAUCGUUCGGUUCUUGGACACAUGGGGAAUCAUCAAUCACCUCGUGGUUGGGUUGGUGCACCGGGGUCUGAGGGUGGCAGCAUCACUUCUAAUAGAGGAACCAGCAGGGGAGUUGCAACUGUUGACUGCACCGCUGAAAUCCAUUGAUGGUUUAGUUUUGUUUGAUCGGCCUAAAUGUAGUCUCCAAGCAGACGACAUUUCUUCACUGGCUUCAUCUUCAUCGAAUUCGGAGGUGGUGGAUUUUGAUGUCGGUGCUGAGUUUACUGAAUUGGAAGGGAAGAUUAGAGAUUGUCUAUCAGAGAGCUAUUGCAGUUACUGCUCACAGUCUUUGCACAGUUUGCAUUACCAGUCGCAGAAAGAGAUUGAGCAGGCAGAUAUUGCUCUUUGCUCUGAUUGCUUCCAUGAUGCAAGAUAUGCUAUCGGGCAUUCAAGCUUAGAUUUUCAGAGAGUCGAUGGGGAUAAAGAUGGAUCAGAAAAUGAGGGGGAUAACUGGACUGAUCCAGAAACAUUAUUGUUAUUAGAGGGCAUAGAAAAGCACAAAGACAACUGGAAUAGCAUUGCAGACCAUGUUGGAACAAAGUCAAAGGCACAGUGUAUUUACCAUUUUAUUCGUCUUCCAGUGGAGGAUAGUUUGUUAGAGAACAUUGAGGUACCAGAUGCAUCCAUGCCAUUUAGACCGCAAAGCAAUGGAUAG